rnacentral:misc_RNA from 1 species
CUGAAUCAAAUCAUAUUAAAUCAAAACCAAAAAAAUGAAAAAUCAAACAACAACUGUAUUGAAAUUUAUAUUUGAUUUCGACUCUUAGACCGAUGCCAAAUCGAAACUGUAACCGCAUACCUUAGAGGGAAGACAGAAAAGGCCACCUUUCUUUUACGCGAUUGUCUUUAUACAACGGCUUCACUCAACAAUUUACAAAGGCAUUUUCAUCAAGUUAGAACCAUAAAACAUUAAUUAGGUAAGAAGGCGGGGAAAAGGGGCACACAGCUUCAAUAAUAAAAAAUUGAGUGAUCAAAGAUUCAGUGUUUCAUCAAUUAAAAAAGAGUGAUCAAAGAUACACGUAAGCAUUAAUAAAUGGCUUGCUAUGCUAGGUUUCUCGGCACAAGGACAGCUACAGGGCUUUUCCAGCCAUUAAAAGAGUGCAUGCAUUAAGGCACAAGAAAUUGGUUGCAGCCAAGACCUGAUCACACUUUGUUAGAGAUUGCUAUGUAUGACACAACAACAGUGAUAUCAUCAAGUUUGCCACCAUAGUAGCGGAAUCCAGCAUCUUGAGCAGCAGAAGAAAAAGGUGUUUGUCGGUUCCUAUCUUGUGCCCGUUGACGUGCCAAAGCUGCAAUCUUCUGGGCUGUUACUUGAGGCCCUAACCCAGCUCUUACCGCAUGAACAACAACAGCAGUAACCUCAUUGUUAUACAAGUUGUCAAAUAAUCCGUCUGUUCCAGCAAUUAUUACAUCACCCGGAGAAACAGGAAAUGUGAAAACCUGGGGUAAUUGAUACCAAAAGGAUGCUCAAAUCAGGGAGUUGGUUGUUAUCUCAAACUGCACACGUUUAAUUAAGCUAUCAAAAUGGAAAACAUUCCUUAAGCAUUCCAAUUUUUUGAAAAAAAGAAAAAUAAUAAAAGAGACAUAGACUCAGUUGUAACAAACUCAAGUGACCUAUGAGUAUCUCUAGAUUUCCAGAAUGGGAGCCAGAUGGAGAACCCAACUCUGCUCUAACAUUCGAUGGCAGCUCAUUAGAGAGACAUAGUCAGGAAACAGGGUAACUUUAAUUUUCAGUUCAGCAGCUAUAAACAGUUGUAAUAUGGCAUCACAGAGACCUGGACAAGGCCAGUUCCAGGCCUGAGCUGGUAGUUCCGGUUCAAUGUUUAGGGGGCCUGAAACUGGCCCUCCAGGUUCCCCUGCUUUGGUUCUAGUUUUGAUCAAAUUUAACGGUUGAAUUUUUUUUUUUUCCAAUUUUUUUGUUAAAAAAGAAAAAAAAAUUCCAGUUUGGUCCAGAACCAAACCAACCAGUACAGCUCAAUGCCAGUUUUGACCCGUUUCGAUUAGCUUCCGGUUCCGAACUGGCCCUUGGCCAAGUCUGGCAUCACAUUAUCAAAGUUUGAGGUUAAUUUAGAUAAAAAUCCACACUGCCAGAAGGAACACAAGAUUUGCUUCAAUUACAAAAACAGAAACAGAUGGCCAACAUAUCAAAAGCAUGAUAAUACAUGUCAAACAAUUUACACAUCAAUUUAGGGUAAAAUCAAUUAACUGACCUGGCCAGAGCUGGGUAGAUCACCACUGCCGCCACUCUCUAGUUGGUAUGUAAAAUUGAAGCCAUGCUGCUGCACUGGGGAUUGGAAUACAGUGCAUCCAUCUCUGACUACCAUAAAUCCACUGUCUCCUAGAUUAACAGCAUGUAUUCCCUCAUUUGUAAGGGCAAUGAUGCAGGCUGUUGACGAACCCUUAGCCUUUGUGCUCGAGUGUGCCUUCUCUAGCACCUUGGCUGGGUCUACUGAACCCACGGGCUCCUCUUGAAUUGCACUUACCGAAUUAGACAUAAGCUCCCUUGCAUAUUCUCCUGCAUUAAUUCCUACAUCUGCCCAGCCGCCUACUCCAUCUGCCACACCAAUGGCUUGUUGAUCUGCACAUAUAAAGUGAGCAUCUUCCCCACCUGUUUCUUCCUUAUCAGGAUGUGGCAAGUAACAUGAUCCUGAGAGUAGCUUCAAGGUUUGGCCAGAUACCACAGUGGAGUUUGCCAGCUGUUCCUCACGAGAAUUCCCAUCAAAUGACACAUCACGAGCAGCCCCAGCAGAGAAUUGCGAAGAAGGCAUGGUACGGAAGUUUUUCGAAAAUGAUCCAAGAACAAAAUUACUCGCAUCAAACGAAGAGUACCCACAAAUCAGACGACUAUUAGGCAGCUCCCCAUUUCUCAUUCUCAUGCUCGCUUUUAGGCAAGUGGCUCGACUUCUAUCCGCGAAAUAAACACCGCUAGGUUUCGAAAAUUCCAAUACAUUUCCACAAGUGGUAAUAAUAUCAUCAAUAUGAACAUCACCAAACACAGGCUUAGAACUAGAGGCAGCCAUAGAAUAUGCGCCAAGAGAACGCUUUAUUGAAAAUCGAGCAGGGUUAUUGGAUAAUAAAGAAGCUGAAUUUCUAGCAAUUAUCGCCGUCGUAAAUCCAAAAUUCAGCUUCACGAGGAACCCAGAUGGCAUCUUAGCCCCUUAAACCAAAGAAAGCUGCUUCUUCAAUCACUCCCCUAUCGAAACCGAUAAUUCUCAUCAGGAACCUGAAAGGGAAAUGGGAAUUAGGGAUUUUUCAAAUGGGUAAUAAAAUUUUCGUAAUAAAAGCUUAACGCUACAGAAUCCAAAUAUGGAAAGAAGCUAAAAGACAGGAAUUGAAAUGUGAAGAAAAGAACGGACCUUUUGGGAGUUAUAAAGAGAGAAAGGAAUUGAUGGAUAGAAAGAAAAAUCAAAUUUAAUGGAAGUUGGGAAAGAAGGGUUCUGAGUUAUGUAUCAGCUUCCCUCUGCAAAUCUUUAUCCCUCUGUUGUCCUGCUCGCGUAGAAGCCAAAAGAACUAUGCUCAGAUGCUUGCACCUUAUUUU